UCGGGCCAAAGGGAGAAAGGAAAAAUAACUUUGACCAAUAUUUAUUAUGAUAUAAGAAGCUGUGCCAGUGUGCAGUGUGCCUCUCUCUCAGUUUCUGUCAUCACUUCUUUGAUUCUCUCCUGCAACCAUAUCUUCUUCUAAUUUCAGUAACUGGCUCUCUCUUCUCAUAAUUCAUAAUGACCAGCAGUGCCUCCGUCUCUCACCUCCACAACUCUUUGUGUGAGACAGCAGGAACAGGAGCAGCAGAACCUAACCACCAGCAACAUGAUGGGGAAGAUGUGGUCUUAAUGAAAGAUGAAAUCCCAUCUGAUUUCAGAUCAGUGAGCUCUGAAGAUGUCAAUGCUGGUUUCACAGAUACAAACGUAUUAGAAACUCAACCUUGUAGUUCAUCAGUCUCAACAUCUGCUGGUCUGCAAAACAAAACAGUCAAUGGUUCAGUAAUGGCAGAAAGUAACCCAAAUCAUUCUGGUUUAGCGAAUCCAAAUAGCUCUGACUUUGCAACUAGAAAUAGCUAUUUGACUAGAACAUUAUUGCAGGCUGCAGCGGAUGUUGAAAGGUUAAAUAAGACUUUGCGUUCUAAUUCUAAAGCAGGCAGUCUUCCAAGGACCUGCAAUAAUAAGGGAAAAUAUUCGUCGAUCACCAACCAAAGAUGCCAUACCUUCUCCCCUUCCAACAAUAGGACAAAUGACAGCCCUGCUUUCUCCUACCAAAGAUGCCAUACCUUCUCCCCUUCCAACAAUAGGACAAAUGGCAGCCCUGCUUUCUCCUCUGCCAACUACAGGGCAAAUAGUAUAGCAUCUGUAUCUAGUGUGAAUGAUAGGCAUGCCUUACCCCCUGCAAUGAACAGGACAAAUGAGAUAGUAUCUACUGUAAAUGAUAGAUCUUUAUUGUUAGACAAAUCGAGAAGUGGAGAAUAUGAAAUGCCAACGCCACUAACUCGAGGUCCUCGGGGUAGUUACAUUGGUUUUCCCCUACAAUCUUCAACUACUAAGAAUGACUUUGCAAUCACAAUAUGCAGAGAUAGAUAUAACCUUCCAGAUUUCCAAACUGAAUAUGAAACUGCUAAAUUUUAUGUCAUUAAAUCUUUCAAUGAAGAUGACAUUCAUAAGAGCAUUAAAUAUGAUGUUUGGACUAGCACCUCAUAUGGAAAUAAGAAGUUGAACGAUGCAUUCCGUAGUGCAGAAGCUAAAUCGAUCCAGACAGGGACAAAGUGUCCAGUCUUCCUUUUCUUCUCGGUGAAUGCUAGCCGGCAGUUUGUUGGAGUAGCUGAGAUGCUUGGACCAGUGGACUUCAACAAAGACAUGAAGUUUUGGAAACUUUACAAAUACAAUGGAUUCUUCCCAAUUAGGUGGCAUAUAAUAAAGGAUGUUCCCAACACUCAAUUUUGUCACAUUCGUAUCAUCGUUGAAAACGAGAACAGGGACGUAACUUACACUAGGGACACACAAGAGAUUGGACUAAAGCAGGGCUUGGAGAUGCUGAAUAUCUUCAAAAGCUAUUCUGCCAAGACAUCUCUACUAGAUGAUUUUGACUUCUAUGAGAACCGAGAGAAAUUACUUUGUUCAGAUAAAAGAUCCAAGGGUGAGUUUGAUGGUUUAUUCUAGCUUCUUAUGAAAAGCAUAAACCAAUUUUUCACUUUGCUAAACUAAUAAAAAGUUCAGGUAGUUUUGUUAUUAGCUUUUAAAAGUGAAAAAGAGUGCCUUUUUAUUUUACAUUCUAACUUUUAUAUACAAUCUUAUCAGCUAUUGGAGGAUCAGAACAAUAUCGAAGCAAGCCUAAGCUUACAAUCCCAGGACCGGAAGGAUAUGGGUACGACAGUUACCAAGUAAGUUCCAUGUUUGUUGAAUAGAAUGAUUCUCGUUCACAUUUGCAAUUGGAGCAUUAGUAUGUGAAUUGCAGUGUUUAAAGUUAAUCACAUGUGUGAUUUUGUAAUGCCAUGUUGCUACAUUAGUUAUUAGUUCCUGAUUUGUAUGCUAUAGCAACUUCUUUUGGGUAAA